UACAGAGGGUGCAAACGUUGUUCGGAAUUACUGGGCGUAAAGCGCGUGUAGGCGGCCCGGAAAGUCGGAUGUGAAAGCCCUGGGCUUAACCUAGGAAGUGCAUUCGAAACUCCCGGGCUUGAGUUCUGGAGAGGAAGGCGGAAUUCUCGGUGUAGAGGUGAAAUUCGUAGAUAUCGAGAGGAACACCGGUGGCGAAGGCGGCCUUCUGGACAGUGACUGACGCUGAGACGCGAAAGCGUGGGGAGCAAACAGG
rnacentral:rRNA from 1 species